rnacentral:rRNA from 1 species
CUGGCGGCGAGCGGCGAACGGGUGAGUAAUGCUUCGGAAUCUGCCCUUCAGUGGGGAAUAACCAGUCGAAAGACUGGCUAAUACCGCAUACGAACUGAGGUUGAAAGCAGGGGAUCGCAAGACCUUGCGCUGAUGGAUGAGCCGAAGUCGGAUUCGCUAGUUGGUAGGGUAACGGCCUACCAAGGCGACGAUCCGUAGCUGGUCUGAGAGGACGACCAGCCACACUGGGACUGAGACACGGCCCAACUCCUAAGGGAGGCAGCANUGGGGAAUAUUGGACAAUGGGGGCAACCUGAUCCAGCGACGCCGAGUGUGUGAAGAAGGACUGCGGGUUGUAAAGUACUUACAGUACNGGAGAGGAAGGUGUCACAGGUUAAUAANCUUGGCAAUUGAAGUUAACGAAGAAGAAGCAACGGCUAAGAUCCGNGCCAGAGAGACGCGGUAAUACGGAGGGUGNAAAGNNGUUAAUAGGAAGUUACUGGGAGCGUAAAAAGAGCACCGAAAAGGAGGAAGAUUGGAGNUCGGNAUGUUGNAAAGAAUAAAGACNCGGAGAGGAAUUUUAAAACCAACGGGGGGGAAAUUGUGACAAUUCGAUGGAAU